rnacentral:rRNA from 1 species
GAGUCAGCAACACCCGAAGUCAGUAGCGUAACCGCAAGGAGCGCGCUGCCGAAGGUGGGUUGAUGAUUGGGGUUAAGUCGUAACAAGGUAAC